UACACGCGCUUCGAAACCGUUUAUUUCUGGAACUUUCCAAUUUUUCGGACCGCGGUAAACCACGGAUAACUGACACCGCGGAUACCCGGGUCCCACUGUAUCUACAGUUAACAGCAUAGUUGACCUUAAUUUGAUGGUAUAGAGUAGUGGUUCUCAACCGGGGGGGUACGCAACAGGGGGCCUCAGCGAGGACCAUGGGGGCGCGGAAUUUACUUGAAAACGCAGAAAAAUAAUGCAUACAAGACAGAGAAUAUGAUAACCUGUACAGGGGACUCCAGACAUGUGAGAGUAACUGAGAAGCAUCGUAUUUUGCUGCCCCGUGCUCAUGUGACCCCGCCUGUGCCGUGUGAGGGACACAUUUCCGCCUCCUCUAGCUCUGGGAUUGAUCAGACCAGGAGUGAACAGUGGAGAACAAACAUUCAGAUUGAGAGCAGCUCUAACAGACUGCGGCACAGAGGUUCCUUCAGCAGAAACAGCAUCCUUUAACUCCCUUAAAACGGUGCUCAGGCGGUUCGUGAUUGGACGGCAGCCCUGCACAGCAGUAUGUGAUUGGACGGCAGCCCUGCACAGCAGUAUGUGAUUGGAUGGCAGCCCACUACAGAGCCAGAGAGUGAUGCACCAAGUGUGGCUCCCUGCUGCCAAGGUCGUUCCAGGAAUCCGGUGUCGGCUUUCAGCCACUCAUGGUUCUGAAAUACCGGCACUCGUCUCAACAUUCGUGUUAGCUGGGGAGGAGUUAGCCUGUCUGCCAGAGCUGCGGCUCAGCAGUGUCCCAAGUUAUACACAGAGAACCACGGUUCUGCAGUUCUACCCUGUUCUAUCUUAGGUACACCAUGUUGAAACAGCUGCCAUCAAAUGGACCUUGAAUCAAACAGGAAAAACCACUGGCAUGACCGACCUUUUUCCGUCGCUUUGGACGAAACUGCCUGCUAGAUAAAUGUUUGACAUCUUGAGGACUUCAGUAUAUUGAGGAGCAGGGUGGCAGAGUUCUGGAGAAGCAUAGCUCACAGUUAUGGUGUGGUCAUGCUACCGAAACAGCCAUACAGGAAAACACACAGAUACACAUCAGUAUCCAUGCUGCUCGUACCAUUUGGAAGGAGCAUCCUUUGAUGCAGAGGAGACUUAAGUGCAAAUGCAGCAGGUUCACACACAUCUUUACUAUCGUCAAGCAAUGCUUCACACAUGCUACGUAGGACUACAUAACAAAACCAGCCUUAACACUGUGUUGCCAUGGAAACCAGCCCGGCCACAUGUGGGGCAGAGCCUGAUCCUUGUUACAAGCUACAGGUUAUGGGUUGAAUGGUCACGGGCGCAGUGCUGCAAGACAACCCAGUGUGCCGCGGCCGGACCGGGCCAUCGGGGGAACACUGCCACUCGGCAGCCCCCGACUGGCUAUAAAACUCCCUCAUUAAACUUUCAGGUGGAUGAAGCCAUAAUACGCCACCUGACCCUAUUGGCCAGUCUGCAGUCAGCCCAGAGGAAGAGAUGGCAGGUGAUUGGCUGGUUUGAAUUAGACCAAUCCCAAUGAGGUUGGCAUAUUGAUCCACUUGCAGUGUUUUUCCCCUUUACAGUAUCUGCUGUAUUUAGAGCAAGGGCUUAUUCCACAUACACAUACAGGGCAUCUGCAGCAGUCAGCCAAUAAAACGAGCUUCCUGUUUGACACGUGAAAACUGGAGCUGCAUACAGCACUUGUGGAAGCUCACUAUGAUCUGUCACAAACUGGUUUGAAGGACAAUAUAAACUUUUUAAUAAAUAGUUUGAUUUAUUUCUAAGAACAAAUAAAAUUUACACUAAACGAACCUUAUGACUUUGCAAAACAACUUUACAAAAUAUGUACAUGUUCUUCCGAUUCAUAUCCCCCAUCCCCCUUAAAUCUCUUUACUCACCAGCUUCUACAACAGCUCUGUCAAGUAAUGCUUUUAAUUUCUUUAUUUUUGUGCUGUCCCAAAACAUAACAAAAUUCUGUCCAGGGGGGAGACAAUAAGAAAUUAACUGCCACUCCAUAACGGGACCAGUUAACUCCUCCGAUGGACUAAGGUACAAAACGUGGAACAAAAUUAACUGACAAAAACUGUUCCCUUCAUUUGGCCAAAAUUUCGAGUAGAAUAAGCAGAUGCUCACAUCAAAUCACAUCAUUGGACAAAAAAAAACAUAGUGGAGGUGGGGCGUGAUGCUCCGCCCA